UACAGAGGGGGCAAGCGUUGCUCGGAAUUACUGGGCGUAAAGGGCGCGUAGGCGGGAUGGCAAGUCGGUCGUGAAAUCUUUCGGCUCAACCGAAGAACGUCGAUCGAUACUGCUGUUCUUGAGGGUUGCAGAGGAGACUGGAAUUCCCGGUGUAGCGGUGAAAUGUGUAGAGAUCGGGAGGAACACCGGUGGCGAAGGCGGGUCUCUGGGCAAUUCCUGACGCUGAGGCGCGAAAGCGUGGGGAGCGAUCCGG
rnacentral:rRNA from 1 species